GGAGAAAACGAAAAAACUCCACGAGCAGCACGUCCAACAGCAGUGCUGGGAACACAACCAACAGCGCCGGCAGCAAGAAGAAGACCACAGCCGCGAGCCUGAGCCUGUCCACUCAGGUACCUGGGCUAGGAGCCAUCCCGAACUGCAGCCUCAACCCUGGGAGGGAUGGAGACCUGUGUCAUUCAACAGCAGUGACCCCUUCUGGCCAAUUUAAGGAGAAGCAUUGAGGGGCCCUGAAAGGAGUCACUUCCAGUCCUCCUCAGAGGAUGUGAUGGUGGUAGGAGAGCCAACUCUGAUGGGAGGUGAGUUUGGGGACGAGGACGAAAGGCUAAUCACUAGAUUAGAAAACACGCAGUAUGAUGCGGCCAACGGCAUGGACGACGAGGAAGACUUCAACAAUUCACCUGCCCUGGGGAACAACAGCCCGUGGAACAGUAAACCUCCCGCCACGCAAGAGACCAAAUCAGAAAACCCCCCACCCCAGGCUUCCCAGUAAGAUGGGCUACUGGCUCCUGAUUUCGCUGUCCAUAGGCCCCGUGGGGUAGAAUUCCAGUCGCAAAUCUCUACUAUCAGGAGAGAAAAGA
rnacentral:lncRNA from 1 species